rnacentral:rRNA from 1 species
UACAGAGGUCCCAAGCGUUGUUCGGAUUCAUUGGGCGUAAAGGGUGCGUAGGUGGCAGGGUAAGUUGGAUGUGAAAUCCCGGGGCUCAACCCCGGAACUGCAUUCAAUACUGCCCUGCUAGAGUACUGGAGAGGAGAUUGGAAUUCAUGGUGUAGCAGUGAAAUGCGUAGAUAUCAUGAGGAAGACCAGUGGCGAAGGCGGAUCUCUGGACAGUUACUGACACUGAGGCACGAAGGCCAGGGGAGCAAACGGG